rnacentral:tRNA from 1 species
AGGCAGAGUAAGUUAAAGUUAAACUCCCGGGCUCAUGAUCCGGUGAUGUGGGUGAAAUUCCUUCCUCUUCCUU